AUUGAACGCUGGCGGCAGGCUUAACACAUGCAAGUCGAGCGGGGGAGGUUGCUUCGGUAACUGACCUAGCGGCGGACGGGUGAGUAAUGCUUAGGAAUCUGCCUAUUAGUGGGGGACAACAUUCCGAAAGGGAUGCUAAUACCGCAUACGCCCUACGGGGGAAAGCAGGGGAUCUUCGGACCUUGCGCUAAUAGAUGAGCCUAAGUCGGAUUAGCUAGUUGGUGGGGUAAAGGCCUACCAAGGCGACGAUCUGUAGCGGGUCUGAGAGGAUGAGCCGCCACACUGGGACUGAGACACGGCCCAGACUCCUACGGGAGGCAGCAGUGGGGAAUAUUGGACAAUGGGCGGAAGCCUGAUCCAGCCAUGCCGCGUGUGUGAAGAAGGCCUUUUGGUUGUAAAGCACUUUAAGCGAGGAGGAGGCUCUUAAGGUUAAUACCCUUGAUGAGUGGACGUUACUCGCAGAAUAAGCACCGGCUAACUCUGUGCCAGCCGCCGCGGUAAUAC
rnacentral:rRNA from 1 species